rnacentral:rRNA from 1 species
CACGGGGGGAGCGAACGUUGUUCGGAAUCACUGGGCGUAAAGGGCGUCUAGGCGGCUCGGUAAGUGGGAUGUGAAAGCCCCCGGCUCACCCGGGGAACUGCAUCCCAUACUGCUGGGCUUGAGUGCGGGAGAGGAUGGGGGAAUUCCUGGUGUAGCGGUGAAAUGCGUAGAUAUCAGGAGGAACACCGGUGGCGAAGGCGCCCAUCUGGCCCGUAACUGACGCUGAAGCGCGAAAGCUAGGGGAGCAAACGGG